GGCCCUGCCAUACCUCGCGCAUGCGCCGCCACCCUCUGCCCGACCGCGCCGCCGCCCCCUCUGCCCGACCGCGUCGCCGCCCCCUCUGCCCGACCGCGCCGCCGCCCCCUCUGCCCGACCGUGCCGCCGCCCCCUCUGCUUGACCGCGCCGCCGCCCCCUUUGCCCAACCGCACCGGCGCUCCCUCCGUCCGUCAGAGCUGACAUCUUCUCCACAUUCGACCAAGCGUUGCUUUGCCACAGCUACUCACCGGCGUGGCCGCCCUCCCCCACUGCUGCCAUGGCCGUCCAUGCUCCUCACCUUCUUUUUCUCUUCUCCGACCCCACCCCAUCGCCAGCAAACAGGCCAGCGCGCAUCCACCAGCAGAAUGGCCACCAUGCGCCUGGAUGCUGCCCACCUCCCCGGCGGUGGACUCACUCCUCCACGACGAGUGUCUGGAUCGAGGGGUCAUCCCUAUCGCUUCGUCCAAGGGUGAGCGGGCCUCCCGGUACUAGCCGUGCCUAAGGACGACCACCAACCACCGCGUCCGCAACCACCCAGAGCAGCCACACAUGUGCCUCCUCGCUGCUCUGUCCCUGGCCACGCACACCCUAGCCGCAGCGUCCAGGCCAUUCACAGCUGCCACCCUAGUCCGUUCACCACCGCCAACCGAGGCCGUUCGACGACGCAGCGAUGAGGUCGUUCAACGACACAACGUAAUAUUUUGUAUGUAGUGAUGGACGUGAAGGAUUUCAGUCAAUCAAGCUAGUUAUCAAAAAGGUAUCGUUCGCCGUCGACGGUGCUGCCAUUUGAGUUUAUGGCUCUGUCCAUGGAGGCUGCCUGGAAGUUUCUUUGUUUCCAUGUACGGUGUCGGUGUUCCAUGACAGCAGUCGUGACGCGUGAUGUUCCCUGGUUAAGAUUGGUUUACUUUGGGUCUCACAGUAUGAGGACAGGCACGACAUGCAUUCAGUCUCAGAACCUGAAACUAACCUGACUGAGGCACAAGGAAGGAAGGGCCACCGUCCGAGGCGACACAUACAUAUGGACAGGACACAACAUCCGACGCGGCGUACGUACUACACUGAAAGACAAGAAGAUGAGCAGCAUCCUUAGCCCGAUCUGAUACAUAUAGAGUCUUAUAUUAUUUGAUUUGACCACGGUACACGUAGCCUCUGCCUAUGUAGUAUGUAACGAACAAGAUGACAAGCAUCAACAUGUAGUAUAUGUGAGUGAGUGGAACACGACUACUUCAGUACGGCUAGCUUAAGUGGUGUGAACUGAAAACCAAGCCUCAACAUAUCUGGUUCUUUCUUUUAUGAGAGAUGAUUUCCUCCCGAUUUCUAGAACUCACAGCCAUAGUUAUAAUAUAGUGGUUGGUCAUCCUCAGCGGGUAGGUGUAAACCACACAGACGCUUACAACCAAAGCUAGCCGGCGGCGCAUAAGCUACCUGCAAAAGAGAAGCCCUUCUUACAUCGACAACAUCUUAAUUUUUAUUCAGUUCAAUUUCCAAUUUUAGUUCAGUUCAUUCUUAUUUUUAGUUCAGUCAGUUUCUUAUUUUAUUUUCCUUCAAUUUCUAAUUCUUUUUCAGUUCAGUUUCUAAUUUUACUAAAGUUCAAUUUUUAAUUCAAAACAGUUUGUGUAAAUUCCCAUCGAGCAAGUGUGCAAGGCAAGCGGCUACUGAACUUGUGCGGCUGCUGCUUUUGGAUUGCCCAAGAAGCACAUCAUUGUAGAAGGCAAAAUCUGUAACCUAUACAAUUCAUGUUUGUUCUGACUUCUUGUUUCUCUAAAGCGGCCAAAUCCCGGUGCAGCUGGUAGUUCAAACUUACGGCAGAUGGCCGGUGACUAACUUCCCUGCCUCUACAAGCUCCUCGGGGGAUGACUUGGUGGUAGCUGGGAUCCCCUAAAGCGGCCAAAUCCCGGUGCACCCAGCCGCCGCUCGUGAUCCCCUCUCCUUCAGCUCCACUUCGCGGCGCCGUCAAUCCACAGUAGUAGGGCGGUAUGCCCAUCAACAAAAAAGAACAUAAGGUCUGAAUAUGUUGCCAUCGCUGUGUUGAUUUCCUACUGCGACCUCGUUGAUUCUGCGCCUUCGAACUGCUCCCUCAAUCCCCUGCGUGGACCACCACCGAAGGUGGGCUGCACCUUCCACCUGCAGCCAUGUGACCGUGUAGAUGCACGUCUUCAUUGAGUCGCCCACAGUGCAUAUGUGUGUGCUGUGUUCGUGCGUGCGUGACCGCAGCCAUGCUUGGUGUUUCGGCGUUGUCUGUGUGUGGUCUUGCGGGCGUAUCACCUCAAACACAUCCCAGGAUGAUGCACGAGUUGCUGAGGAAAUGCCCAAGCAUGUGGCCUCUCAGCUACAACUUCGUCUCAUGGAAGCUGUUGGAUGUGGACAGCCAGUACGAAUUCAAGUCUACGUGGCUCAUCCAGGAGGAAAAGAAGAGGGGCUCGAGUGGUUUCUCUCUGGAUAAGGGCAGAAAACAUUGUGCUCUGAACAUGCUUGUUGAUAUGCCCAUGAGAAUGGGUACAUUUUUCUACAGAUUUUUGUGUUGCUGACAAGGGAUACACAACUUGUAUUUUUACAAGUUGUACUUAAGCAUAUCCUCUAUAAAGUUCGUGGAGGUGUGGAUGUUCUUUUGACAUUGAACUGUUAAGUGCUUGCAAAAUAUGAAGUGUUGAUCCAUUAGCAUUCGCAGCUUCGCACCUCAUUCUUGUAUGUUAUGUGUUUCAAGUGAUCAAUGAAGUUUAUGUUUUAAGGU